CACACCCUUCUUUUCCAGCAAGUGAAUUCUGGGACCUUCAAUGAAGAACAGGUCUAGAUUUGGAUAUGGCCAGCCCUGACCUGGACAGACACCAAGCAAUUAAGGGAAAUACAACCCUCAAUUAAUUAUUUUUAAGGUCCAAUCAUCUCAUGUGAAAACAGGGAGCAAGUUUCUGUAGCUUUCUUGAUGGCAGGAAAAAUCUCCCUCACAUUUCCAGGAUGGAGUGGUAUCCUUACCUUGCUUACAUUUAUGAGAAUAUGUGACAUUGGCAGUGCUUCGGUGAAUCGAAUCUUAUUCUACAUAAAUUGGCCCUAAUCCAGCUAAACAAGUCCCAGUGAAACAAUUGGGCAAGGAGUAUUUUUGAGUGUCCUGUCAUUCUACAAAUCAUUUCUUCAGUGGCCUGCACUCUGCACUCUGCUCAGGUGAUUGCACUUCUUGAAAACCCCAUGAUGUCCUCAACUGUGCUUCUACAGGCAUGCGAUGGAUCCUUGACUUCUGAUUCUUCUUGCUGUGCAAUUGCAGCUACUGACUGCCAUUCCAGAUUUAUUGAUAAUAAAGCAGUGGCAAAUGGUGAUCCAGAUUUUAAGGCGAUGUAAUUGGCAGCACGUGAUCCUUUACACUAUGAUUCCAAUAUUGCAGAUGAGACUUACAUCUCAUGUUCAAUGGACUUGGGGGCAGAAGAGGUAGAGUAGGCGCAGCUGCGAUCAUGGUUUGUACAGCAGUUUGUUCUCACAAUGUUUACAUGUAGACCAUCACCUUUAGAUCAAAUAACGUACUGCCUGGUGGCGGGAAGAGGAAGUUCUCUUGAUGCGGGAUGAUACAAUGUGGAAGGAGAAUUUCCACACGCCAACGCUACCCUGUUCCACAUUACUAAAUAUAUCAUACCUUAUCUUCAACA